rnacentral:lncRNA from 1 species
GCAACUUCUUUGAAGCCAUAGAACAGAUUUUGCAAAAUUUGAUGAUUUGUUACAAAAAUUAUGUAUAUUGAAUUAGCUUUCUGUGACUUAUUGCAUAAGUAGUUUUUUUUGUCCAAAUGAAACAAUUGAAUAGUGGAAAAGUUGCAUUUCUACACAAGAAAGCAUUCUGAAGACAACUUUUUCCCCAGUAAAGCUAGUAAUUACAAUGUAUAGAAAUAGAUAUAAAUUCAUAAAUUUGGGAC